UGCCAGCCGCCGCGGUAAAACCAGCACCUCAAGUGGUCAGGAUGAUUAUUGGGCCUAAAGCAUCCGUAGCCUGUUUUGUAAGUCUUCGGUUAAAUCCAUCAACUCAAGUGAUGGGCCGCCGGAGAUACUGCAAAACUAGGGAAUGGGAGAGGUAGACGGUACUCGAUAGGAAGGGGUAAAAUCCUUUGAUCUAUUGAUGACCACCUGUGGCGAAGGCGGUCUACCAGAACAUGUUCGACGGUGAGGGAUGAAAGCUGGGGGAGCAAACCGGAUUAGAUA
rnacentral:rRNA from 1 species